CUUCUGCUUAAGUUAACUUCAGUUCUAACAUUCUAUGAUUUUCACCACAAUCACUCUCUUGAAAAGAGAAGAAGAAAACAAUGAAUUGGCAAGAUUUCUUGUUUAAUUGACAUUUAGUUGAAACAGAUUUCCUUGAGAAGAAACUGACUUAAGGCCUGUGUGCAUGAUGUGUUAAUAUGCAGACAGCCUCAAAGAGCACAAGCUGGAAGAAACAGGAAGAAACUUUGAAGUAGUCUGCAACUUCUAAUGUUCUUCAACAUAUUCCCUGGUGGAAUUUUAGUUUUGUGUCAUGCUUUUCCAAGUUUUCCUCCAGAUGUUAUAUAGCAGUCUUUCUCUUCAGGGAAAUAUGGCUUGGAGUAUGAUGGUUUAGAUAUCCUGUAUACAGACAUCGAGAUUAAAAAAUAGAGAUGUCCAUUCAGUUUUACAAAAAUGUCUCUUAGUAUCUUACUGAAGAAUGUUGGAACCAUUCAAGCAGCUUCAUCUCUCCAGUUUCCACGCUCUGCAGCUAUCUUCCUUGAAGUCCCACAUAACCUUUGGCCUAAGGCCCCUGACAUAUUUACGUAAUCUCAACUCUUCCCACGACAGAGUGGCUGACCAGGAAAUCUCAGGCCAUGGCAGAAUCAGACAUCAAGAAAAUGGUGGUGGAUUGAGCAGCCCCUACGAUGAAGAAUCAGAAGGCCAAACUAUC
rnacentral:lncRNA from 1 species